rnacentral:rRNA from 1 species
AGAGUUUGAUCCUGGCUCAGAGCGAACGCUGGCGGCAGGCUUAACACAUGCAAGUCGAGCGGGCGUAGCAAUACGUCAGCGGCAGACGGGUGAGUAACGCGUGGGAACGUACCUUUUGGUUCGGAACAACACAGGGAAACUUGUGCUAAUACCGGAUAAGCCCUUACGGGGAAAGAUUUAUCGCCGAAAGAUCGGCCCGCGUCUGAUUAGCUAGUUGGUGAGGUAAUGGCUCACCAAGGCGACGAUCAGUAGCUGGUCUGAGAGGAUGAUCAGCCACAUUGGGACUGAGACACGGCCCAAACUCCUACGGGAGGCAGCAGUGGGGAAUAUUGGACAAUGGGCGCAAGCCUGAUCCAGCCAUGCCGCGUGAGUGAUGAAGGCCCUAGGGUUGUAAAGCUCUUUUGUGCGGGAAGAUAAUGACGGUACCGCAAGAAUAAGCCCCGGCUAACUUCGUGCCAGCAGCCGCGGUAAUACGAAGGGGGCUAGCGUUGCUCGGAAUCACUGGGCGUAAAGGGUGCGUAGGCGGGUCUUUAAGUCAGGGGUGAAAUCCUGGAGC